AUUGAACGCUGGCGGCAUGCUUUACACAUGCAAGUCGAACGGUAACAGGCCUUCGGGUGCUGACGAGUGGCGAACGGGUGAGUAAUGCAUCGGAACGUACCCAGUGGUGGUGGAUAACGCAGCGAAAGCUGUGCUAAUACCGCAUGUGAUCUGAGGAUGAAAGCGGGGGACCGCGCAGCAAUGUUUGGCCUUGCGCCUUUGGAGCGGCCGAUGUCGGAUUAGCUAGUUGGGAGGGUAAAGGCCUACCAAGGCGACGAUCCGUUGCUGAUCUGAGAGGACGAACGGCCCAAACGGAACCGAGACACCGGCCAGAAUCCUACGGGAGGCCGCAGUUGGGAAUUUUUGGCAAAGGGCGAAAGCCUGACGCAGCAACGCCGGGUGAGUGAAGAAGGGCUUCGGGUUGUAAAACCCUUUUAGGAGGGAAGAAAACGGGUGCAGGUAACUCCGGACGUCAUGACGGUACCUAGCAAGAAAGCACCGGCUAACUACGUG
rnacentral:rRNA from 1 species